rnacentral:rRNA from 1 species
ACCUGCCUGUAAGACUGGGAUAACUUCGGGAAACCGGAGCUAAUACCGGAUAAUCCUUUYCUACUCAUGUAGGAAAGCUGAAAGACGGUUUACGCUGUCACUUACAGAUGGGCCCGCGGCGCAUUAGCUAGUUGGUGAGGUAACGGCUCACCARGGCGACGAUGCGUAGCCGACCUGAGAGGGUGAUCGGCCACACUGGGACUGAGACACGGCCCAGACUCCUACGGGAGGCAGCAGUAGGGAAUCUUCCGCAAUGGACGAAAGUCUGACGGAGCAACGCCGCGUGAGUGAUGAAGGUUUUCGGAUCGUAAAACUCUGUUGUUAGGGAAGAACAAGUACGAGAGUAACUGCUCGUACCUUGACGGUACCUAACCAGAAAGCCACGGCUAACUACGUGCCAGCAGCCGCGGUAAUACGUAGGUGGCAAGCGUUGUCCGGAAUUAUUGGGCGUAAAGCGCGCGCAGGCGGUCCUUUAAGUCUGAUGUGAAAGCCCACGGCUCAACCGUGGAGGGUCAUUGGAAACUGGGGGACUUGAGUGCAGAAGAGAAGAGUGGAAUUCCACGUGUAGCGGUGAAAUGCGUAGAGAUGUGGAGGAACACCAGUGGCGAAGGCGACUCUUUGGUCUGUAACUGACGCUGAGGCGCGAAAGCGUGGGGAGCAGGGCUGAAAUUCAAAGGGAAUUGACGGGGGGCCCSCCCCAAGCGGKUGGAGCAUGUGGUUUAAUUUCGAAGCAAACGCGAAGAACCUUUACCAGGUCUUGACAUCUCCUGACAAUCCUAGAGAUAGGGACGUUCCCCUUUCGGGGGGACAGGAUGACAGGUGGUGCAUGGUUGUCGUCAGCUCGUGUCGUGAGAUGUUGGGUUAAGUCCCGCAACGAGCGCAACCCUUGAUCUUAGUUGCCAGCAUUYAGUUGGGCACUCUAAGGUGACUGCCGGUGACAAACCGGAGGAAGGUGGGGAUGACGUCAAAUCAUCAUGCCCCUUAUGACCUGGGCUACACACGUGCUACAAUGGAUGGUACAAAGGGCAGCAAAACCGCGAGGUCGAGCCAAUCCCAUAAAACCAUUCUCAGUUCGGAUUGUAGGCUGCAACUCGCCUACAUGAAGCUGGAAUCGCUAGUAAUCGCGGAUCAGCAUGCCRMGGUGAAUACGUUCCCGGGCCUUGUACACACCGCCCGUCACAMCACGAGAGUUUGUAACACCCGAAGUCGGUGGGGUAACCCUUCUGGG